GUGCCAGCAGCCGCGGUAAUACGUAGGGUGCGAGCGUUAAUCGGAAUUACUGGGCGUAAAGCGUGCGCAGGCGGCGGCUCAAGUCAGGUGUGAAAUCCCCGGGCUUAACCUGGGAAUUGCGCUUGAAACUAGGUCGCUAGAGUGUGGCAGAGGGGGGUGGAAUUCCACGUGUAGCAGUGAAAUGCGUAGAGAUGUGGAGGAACACCGAUGGCGAAGGCAGCCCCCUGGGUCAACACUGACGCUCAUGCACGAAAGCGUGGGGAGCAAACAGGAUUAGAAACCCUAGUAGUCC
rnacentral:rRNA from 1 species